rnacentral:rRNA from 1 species
GCCUAACACAUGCAAGUCGAACGAGAAAGUGAAGCUUGCUUCACGAGUAAAGUGGCAAACGGGUGAGUAACACGUGAACAACCUACCCUCGAGUGGGGAAUAACACCGCGAAAGCGGUGCUAAUACCGCAUAAUAUCUCUGAAUCGCCUGGUUUUGAGAUCAAAAGCUUCGGUUGCUUGAGGAGGGGUUCGCGCCUGAUUAGCUUGUUGGUGAGGUAACGGCUCACCAAGGCUGCGAUCAGUAGCCGGCCUGAGAGGGUGAACGGCCACACUGGAACUGAGACACGGUCCAGACUCCUACGGGAGGCAGCAGUGGGGAAUUUUGCGCAAUGGGCGAAAGCCUGACGCAGCAACGCCGCGUGGAGGAUGAAGGCCCUCGGGUCGUAAACUCCUGUCAGUGGGGAAGAAUGCUUCGGUUUGACUGUACCCGCUGAGUGAAGCCACGGCUAACUCCGUGCCAGCAGCCGCGGUAAAUACGGAGGUGGCAAGCGUUGCUUCGGACAUUACUGGG